CAGUUUCUAUUUGUUGAGGACAAAUAAAAUGUAUAUGUGUAUCAAUAGAUCCUGCAGUAAGAAUAUGUCCUUCACCAGCUAUUACUUCAGUAGAAGAGCCAAUAAUAAUAUUUAUAUUAUCUUGUAUAUCUGGAUUUCCAGCUUUACCAAUUUCAUAAAUUUUUCCAUCUUUCAAUCCGACAUCAGCUUUUACUAUUCCCCACCAAUCGACUAUUAAGGCAUUUGUUAUUACUGUAUCAACAGCUCCAUCCUCUCUGGUUACUUGAGACUGGCCCAUCCCAUCUCUG
rfam:Prochlorococcus marinus MED4 complete genome.